rnacentral:rRNA from 1 species
UGCGCAGGCGGCUCCUUAAGUCAGAUGUGAAAGCCCCGGGCUUAACCUGGGAACUGCGUUUGAAACUGGGGAGCUGGAGUGUAGAAGAGGGGGGUGGAAUUCCAGGUGUAGCAGUGAAAUGCGUAGAGAUCUGGAGGAACACCGAUGGCGAAGGCAGCCCCCUGGGCUAACACUGACGCUCAUGCACGAAAGCGUGGGAGCAAACA